rnacentral:rRNA from 1 species
UACAGGGGGUGCUAGCGUUGUUCGGAAUUACUGGGCGUAAAGCGCACGUAGGCGGCUUUGCAAGUUAGAGGUGAAAGCCCGGGGCUCAACUCCGGAAUUGCCUUUAAAACUGCAUCGCUAGAAUUGUGGAGAGGUAAGUGGAAUUCCGAGUGUAGAGGUGAAAUUCGUAGAUAUUCGGAAGAACACCAGUGGCGAAGGCGACUUACUGGACACAUAUUGACGCUGAGGUGCGAAAGCGUGGGGAGCAAACAGG